UAACGGACUGCUGAGUGGAUCACUAACGUUAGACGCCAGCUGUGAGUUUUUCUGAAGAGCUAACUACACCCCAAAGGCUCUUUUAAGAGCCACAACACGGAGCUUCUUUGGCUUUGAGCUAACUACACCCCAAAGCUUCUUUGGCAUUAUCCUAUCCAGCCAGUGAUCAGAGAAGAUAGAGAGAGACCUGAACUUGAGCACAUGCAAAUCAGCCAUCAGUUGUUUACCAGUAUGGAGACCAGUCAAGACCAACUGGGAGGUUUUGUUCAUGCUUUUUAUUGCGCAUUGUCAUGAUCUCUGCUUUUGUUAUGAAUUCAGGUCUCUUUUUUUAUGUUGCAUCAUGAUA